rnacentral:rRNA from 1 species
UACGUAGGGGGCGAGCGUUGUCCGGAAUCAUUGGGCGUAAAGCGCGUGUAGGCGGCCCGGUAAGUCCGAUGUGAAAGUCCAGGGCUCAACCCUGGGAUGCCGGUGGAUACUGUCGGGCUCGAGUCCGGAAGAGGCGAGUGGAAUUCCUGGUGUAGCGGUGAAAUGCGCAGAUAUCAGGAGGAACACCAAUGGCGAAGGCAGCUCGCUGGGACGUGACUGACGCUGAGACGCGAAAGCGUGGGGAGCAAACAGG